AGUGGCGGACGGGUGAGUAACGCGUGAGAAUCUGCCUUCAGGUCGGGGACAACAGAGGGAAACUUCUGCUAAUCCCGGAUGAGCCUUAGGGUAAAAAAUUUAUUGCCUGGAGAUGAGCUCGCGUCUGAUUAGCUAGUUGGUAAGGUAAAAGCUUACCAAGGCAACGAUCAGUAGCUGGUCUGAGAGGAUGAGCAGCCACACUGGGACUGAGACACGGCCCAGACUCCUACGGGAGGCAGCAGUGGGGAAUUUUCCGCAAUGGGCGAAAGCCUGACGGAGCAAGACCGCGUGGGGGAGGAAGGCUCUAGGGUUGUAAACCCCUUUUCUUUGGGAAGAACAAAAUGACGGUACCAAAGGAAUCAGCCUCGGCUAACUCCGUGUCAGCAGCCGCGGUAAUACGGAGGAGGCAAGCGUUAUCCGGAAUGAUUGGGCGUAAAGCGUCCGCAGGUGGCAAUGUAAGUCUGCUGUCAAAACCCAGGGCUCAACUCUGGUCAGGCAGUGGAAACUACAUAGCUAGAGUUCGGUAGGGGCAAAGGGAAUUCCCGGUGUAGCGGUGAAAUGCGUAGAGAUCGGGAAGAACAUCGGUGGCGAAAGCGCUUUGCUAGACCGAAACUGACACUCAGGGACGAAAGCUAGGGGAGCGAAUGGGAUUAGAUACCCC
rnacentral:rRNA from 1 species